rnacentral:rRNA from 1 species
UACGAAGGGGGCUAGCGUUGUUCGGAGUUACUGGGCGUAAAGGGCGCGUAGGCGGCGCAUCAAGUCAGGCGUGAAAGCCCUGGGCUCAACCCGGGAAUUGCGCUUGAGACUGAUGUGCUCGAGUACGGGAGAGGAUAGUGGAAUUCCCAGUGUAGAGGUGAAAUUCGUAGAUAUUGGGAAGAACACCGGUGGCGAAGGCGGCUAUCUGGACCGUAACUGACGCUGAGGCGCGAAAGCGUGGGGAGCAAACAGG